GUAGGUGGCAAGCGUUGUCCGGAAUUAUUGGGCGUAAAGCGCGCGCAGGCGGGUCCUUUAAGUCUGAUGUGAAAGCCCACGGGCUCAACCGUGAGGGUCAUUGGAAACUGGGGGACUUGAGUACAGAAGAGGAAAGCGGAAUUCCAAGUGUAGCGGUGAAAUGCGUAGAGAUUUGGAGGAACACCAGUGGCGAAGGCGGCUUUCUGGUCUGUAACUGACGCUGAGGCGCGAAAGCGUGGGGAGCAAACAGGAUUAGAUACCCUGGUAGUCCACGCCGUAAACGAUGAGUGCUAAGUGUUAGGGGGGUUUCCGCCCCUUAGUGCUGCAGCUAACGCAUUAAGCACUCCGCCUGGGGAGUACGGCCGCAAAGGCUG
rnacentral:rRNA from 1 species